ensembl:lncRNA
GUGCGGCCAUAUUUAAAUACAUCAAGGCAAUUAGCUCAUCAAAAUAUGCAAAUCUGGUUGAUAUAGUCCGCGUGGCCCAGUCGGAUUAAUUCCCCCCUCGGCAGCGCGUUGGUAUUUGAUUGUCGUUUAGAAAGACAGCAAAGGCUUGCAUGAUUCAACGACAAAAAAAGAUGCUCCAGACUCGAACGUUGAAAAGAUGAAGAACAAGCAGAAGAACGAGAACAAGAAGAAGAAGUAGAAGAAGAAGAAAAGAAGAAGAAGAAGGAGAAGAACGGCGACAUGAAAAGAGGGUACGGGAGCUUCGGAGCGGAAAAUCGCCCAUGCGUAAUGAGACGAGGCGAACCGCCAUUCCCAAUGCUACGACGCUGUUGGCUCUGGUUCACUUAUUUUGGCCUAUGCGUCGAUGAGGACUUAAUGUAUCAGGUAGGCCUGCUGCCUCGUUUUGAACCACGUUGCCUUUCGAAUAGCUUAGGUUUCCCCUAUUUUUCUGUAAAUAGUUUUUGCCUUGGUUUUAGAGAUAUCAUCUAUGAAAAGCCCUGAACCGUGUUCCCCUUUUCAUUUAUCCGUUCUUAAUCCAUCGUUUAUUUGACCGUCAGCAUGUGAUCUUCAGCCUGGUUGAUCGUCAGUGUGACGUGACUUUAAAAGCAACCUAUUUCGGCUAUAGGCAAUCAAGCGAGAGUUCAAUCAGCUUCUUUUUCAUUAGUCCUCGUUUACAUUGAGGCUGAGCGAAACGCACGACCGGGUAUAGGCCUAUGCGUUUAUUUCAACGCAGCUUUACAAUGGAUAAAUACAUCUACAAAUUCGCCUAAUUAGGCCUAAUGUGUUAAUACCGCAGAGGGGUACCUAUCUGCCUUCAUAUAGGAGGACGUGUCGAGGCUGUUGGAAACUUGUGGACGUUAUUUUUAACGAUCAUGCAACAUUUUGUCCAAAUAGCUUAGGCUACUUGCUACACAUUUAGGCCUAUUUUACUGUUUAAUUUAACAAUAAUUUAAGAAUAACACGGAUAUUGAAACAGUUAUAGUGGUCCCACAAGUCACUCAGGCUCAAGGCCGAAAUGUGUUUGAAUAAAAUGCAACGUGGUUUAUAGGGAAAACAAAACCAUAUUUUAAAUGUAUUCUCUCUUGAUAAAGUAGACCUGCGUAUUAUCGAAAAUCUGAAAGAGAUUUCUGUCUAAACGAACAUCUCUCAAAAAUGGUUUCAGCGAUUAAUUACAUCGUUGAAUGAAUAAUGGAUAAAUAAUAGAAUACUAUCACAUACAAAAUACAUGAAAAUAUGAAUCAAAACUGAAUACAAAUAAUAAUAAACAAUACAGUACAAUUUUAAAAUAACCCCCCAAAAUCGAAUGAUUGACUCCCUAUAAAUUGGGGAACCAAAUCGACUAUAUCUAAACGAACCCUAUGGGAUGAGACUAUAAAAAACAUGCAGGCCUACUUUCAAUAUCACACUACGUGUAAUAUGGAAUAGUCAAAUAUACGAGUUUUUUAAAGUACUUGCCUUAAGUGUGUGGAUUAUUAAUUGCAGUCUACAGGCUAAUUACCCUGGCGUCCGUUACCGAAAGGAAAUUUCUGACCUGAAAUAGCAUGGAAUAAAAAACAAACACCCAUGCAAUUACGGUCCAUUAGGAAUUGUUUCCAUUUUGUAUUAUACUUGAUUGUCAUUUAACUUGAAUCACAUCUGUCGCUUGCUAUGUAUGACCUCCCAAUUCCCCUGUACUCUGAGAUAAGCUUUGCAUUUAAAUGUCAAAUGUCUGCAUUAUGUAUGCUUAUGAUGCAUUGUCAUUUUGGGAUUUAUUAAAGGUGGAAGGAACCGUGAUACAAAUGUUGUUGUUAUUUCAAUGCUUUGAAUUUCAAACUCUCUAAAUCUCAGCUAUUUUUCAUGUCAUGGUAUCAAAGGUUACCAUAAAUUGUACAUUUGGUUUUUACACACAAUUUAUUAUUCAUAUUAAAUCAUGU